GAUGAACGCUGGCGGCGUGCUUAACACAUGCAAGUCGAACGGAAAGGCGGUGGUGUUGCUACUAUUACGGGAGCGGCGCGCGUGUGUGAGACAUGUGUAUGACCGCCCUGAAUGACGGGGAAAAACUAGUGAAAAGGGUGGUUAUACCGGAAAAUCUCCUGAGGCACAAAGUGGGGUAGUGAAAGACGGCGUUUCUGUCGAGCCUCGGAGAAUCCGGGCGGUAUUAGGUGGUUGGUACGGUAACGGCUUACCAAGGCGACGAUGCGUAGGCGAGCUGAGAGGGGGAUCGGCCACACUGGAACUGAGACACGGUCCAGACUCCUACGGGAGGCAGCAGUAGGGAAUCUUCGGCAAUGGGGGAAAGCCUGACGGAGCAACGCCGCGUGAGUGAUGAAGGCCUUCGGAUCGUAAAGCUCUGUUAUUAGGGAAGAACAGAUGUGUAAUUAAACAUGCACUUCUUGACGGUACCUAAUAAAAAAGCACCGGCUAACUACGUG
rnacentral:rRNA from 1 species